GGAGGGAUGGCCGAGUGGACGAUGGCGACGGUCUUGAAAACCGUUGUGGCGGCGACGUCACCGGGGGUUCGAAUCCCUCUCCCUCCGCCA
rnacentral:tRNA from 1 species